GAAUUUUGGACAAUGGGCGAGAGCCUGAUCCAGCGACGCCGCGUGUGUGAAGAAGGCCUGCGGGUUGUAAAGCACUUUCGAUGGGAACGAAAUGUGCCGGGCUAAUACCCCGGCAAGCUGACGUUCCUCCAUGAAGAAGCACCGGCUAACUCUCUCCCAGCCGCCGCGGUAAUACAGAGGGUGCGAGCGUUAAUCGGAAUUACUGGGCGUAAAGCGCACGUAGGUGGCGACGUAAGUCGGGUGUGAAAGCCCCGGGCUCAACCUGGGAAUUGCAUUCGAGACUGCAUUGCUGGAGUACGGAAGAGGAGGGCGGAAUUCCCGGUGUAGCGGUGAAAUGCGUAGAUAUCGGGAGGAACAUCAGUGGCGAAGGCGGCCCUCUGGUCUAGUACUGACACUCAAGUGCGAAAGCGUGGGGAGCAAACAGG
rnacentral:rRNA from 1 species